rnacentral:rRNA from 1 species
UACGGAGGGGGCUAGCGUUGUUCGGAAUUACUGGGCGUAAAGCGCACGUAGGCGGGUCUUUAAGUCAGGGGUGAAAUCCUGGAGCUCAACUCCAGAGCUGCCUUUGAUACUGAAGAUCUUGAGUUCGGGAGAGGUGAGUGGAACUGCGAGUGUAGAGGUGAAAUUCGUAGAUAUUCGCAAGAACACCAGUGGCGAAGGCGGCUCACUGGCCCGAUACUGACGCUGAGGCACGAAAGCGUGGGGAGCAAACAGG